rnacentral:lncRNA from 1 species
AGAGGUUCUUAUAGUCAAGAUUACCAGAGACAUCUGGAGGGAAAGCAGCAAACAUCUGGUUGAUCUCUUCUUGACUGAACCGGUCUGCUUGUGUCAUAAGCAUUUCUUUGAUGUAGUCUGCCUUUAUGUGGCCUUUUCCUUCUGGGUCGAAAAUCUUAAAAGCAUUCAGAAUGGUUUCUUCUGGGUCCGUGCCUUUCAGUUUUUCCCCAAACAUUGUAAGAAAGACAGUGAAGUUAAUGGGACCUGGCGCCUCCUUCACCAUGUCUUCUAGCUCUUCAUUCUUGACAUUCAGACGACCCAGUGCAGCAAAUGUGUCUCUCAAGUCUGCUUUAUCAAUAAAGCCAUCCCUGUUCUGAUCCAUGAUGGUAAAUGCCUUCUUCUUUGCCUUUUUUGGAGCCAUGCUGCUGCUUCUCCUCCUGUCCUUUCUCUGCCAACUAGUCAGCCAGCAAACACAAUGCCAAUUGCCUCUUUAUAUAGUGUCACCAAGGAAUAAAAAUAUGUCUGCUCCAAGUUUAGACAAUAGAUGUAAGAUUGGAAAAGUGCAGUAAUUGGAUCCCAA